rnacentral:misc_RNA from 1 species
CGCACAUUGCGCCCUCUGGUAUUCCGGGGGGCACGCCUGUUCGAGCGUCAUUGAAUAAAUCAAGCUCGGCUUGGUAUUGGGUGACUCUCCUCCCGGGGAGUUCCCGAAAUACAGCGGCUCGGUCGUACCGGAGAAGAACGCACUGGGAUUAUUCUAAAUCAUCGUUCUUGCCUCUCGGGCGUCCCGUCGCCGGCGAAACCGUACACCGGCAUUUGCCCGGGGUACGCUCCUAAGAAUUGACCUCGGAUCAGGUGGAAAUACCCGCUGAACUUAA